CUAUUUUCGGUUGGUUGUGACGCGCAGAAAGGAGGCGUGUCCAAUGUGACCGUUGAGUCUGACAGGAAAGUCCCGACUUCCCAACAGGCUGUUUCCUCGCUCGAAGUAGCGCUAAAAACAAAUGUCUUUUAAAACUAUGAGGCGGAAAACCAGCAGUAGCGCCGGCAGGAGAAGCUCAACAACAAGGAGGCGCAGUGAGAAUUUACGUUUUGAUGAAUUCGGCUUUGCUCUGACUAAACGAAAGGACCAAAAGCUCCAUCACCGAUGUCAUGAUUACAGCUUCACCCAGCUGAGCUCGGUGAGGGUGAAGGAGCUGUGUGAGCUGCUCAGCUACUGGAACGGAGGCAGCUUCAUCUGCAAGAGCCAGAUCGAGCGGUUCAUCCGGAUGGGUAUUCCUCAGAGUCUGCGUGGCAGAGUGUGGAAGUGUCUGCUCGGCAUCGACAGUCUGAGAGACACUAGUGACUUCAGCUACCAGAAGUGUCUGCUUGAGGUGCGAGUGCCAUUGGUGGACUUGGGAGUGAGUGAGUACGGCAUCCUGUCGGCAAUCGCCACGCUGAGCGAGACCCAAAACCAUCUGGGUUUGAACCUCGGGGAGGGGUCUGGCGCCCCCGUGCCCAGAUACUCUGCGGACGACAUCACAGUCUUCAGGCAGAUCGCCCUAGACCUACAACGUUCCUUCCCGACCCACCGCUCGCUGAUGGGGGACAGCCCAGAAGCCAUUGAGGGCCAGGCUAAACUCUUUAGGGUCCUCAUUGCUUACGCCAAAUACAGCCCGCAGGUUGGCUACAGCCAAGGGAUGUCCUACCUAGCUGCAGUGCUGCUGAUGCAGUUGGGGGAGGAGGAGGCGUUUUGGGCUCUGACCGCGUUGUUGGAUAAACCCAAAUAUCUAACUGAACUGUUUGACCUCAACCUAACCAGGGUCCAGCAUCAGGUGAAGGUUUUCGACCAGUUCCUGAAACACAGGAAGCCCCUGCUAUCUCAGCACCUGGAAUCGGUGGGGGUCUCGUCAGUCCAUUUUGUGAUGCCUUGGUUCCUCACUCUCUUCACUUCCCUGCCCUGCUGGGACUCUGUUCUGGCUGUCUGGGAUCUGAUCAUUCUGCAUGGCCUGUCUGCUGUAUUCCGUACAGCCCUGACCCUUGUCGAGCUCCUGGAGUCUCGACUGAUGGACCUGACCGACGAGGGAGCAGUGUUACCCCUCCUGUUGAGAGUCCCUUUCGAUGUAUCCAAGUACGCCGUCUUCAUCCCCGCCCUGUGGAAUACCGAGGUCCAGGACUGGGAGCUCAAAUGCAUGAGCGGUCUGGUGUUGGACGAGAGCCACCAUGGACCAGGACAGUGUCAGGAACAGAAGGUCACACCCUCAGCCCAAGCCAGUGGAGGUAAAGAAAAUGAAAACGUACAGGAAGGAGAAAAGACCGCUGAAAAGGAAUCGGUCUCCGGGGCUAAAAGUGUACUGACCCGCGUGAUGCGCCUGGCCCAGCGCUACCUGGCCGACCAGAGGGGUAGACAGAGGACUGAGGGGCAGGGGGCUCAAACACAGGCCAGGACCAGACAGCGCAGUCCUGCACCUGCGCGAGUCUUCCGGAGUCGGACCGGCUCUUCCCUCACACAAAGUCAGAUUUCAUCCUAUGAAGUUGUUAUAGCCAUAGCCUAAAUCUUCAGAGGGCAGUCCCAGGUAAAGCUGUUUGUUUCACUAACAAAUUAUUAUUGUUUAGCUUGCUAGGUCUGCACUGAAGGAUCUUUGUCUUUUUACAAUACACCAAAUACUAUUGCUUCCUUGCCGUGGGGGCUUAGCAGGGACAUGCGCUCACCUCCUUAUUUGGGGAUUGAUGUGGUUGGCACAGCUGCAUGAUGAUUAAUCACCAUAACCGUGCUAAUUAUACUCCACUAACCCCACGCUUGUGUCCUCCACACCUUUUGCCUGUAGCUUUUCUCUCUGUCCUUGAGAGACCCAGGACUGUGUGCCAGUACAAGGAAGCUCUUAAUGUUGGUUCAUAAUAUGCAUAUGCAUUUUACACAAUCCAACUGCGUGUCUGAGUAAGGUAGAUCUCUGUGGGCUACUGUCCGGAGACUCCUCUCAGACUCUCCUCACUAGACAGUAAGUAGGCUUUUCUUUUAGCCAUUGAAAGAAAUCUGGACCCACUAUGAUCUAGCAGCGGUCUGGAAGUCUGGAACAAAGGACAGUCUCUGUUUAGUCAGCGUCAUUCUGAUGCCAAAUCCUUCUGCUCAAACCAGACUGCGCGCUUUAGACACAACAUAGCUUACCUCUGGUCUUGCUGAGUUGACCUUUCACACAAUUUGAUUGCAAGAUUUUUCUGAAUGUCUUCUGAAUGUCUGCCAGCACAGUAGCUGGCUGGUGGAGGUCAAUCAGUAAUAUGUUUGACUGAUACAUUUCAGUAUUUGAAUUUAUAUUCAGUUUCAAGCCAGCAAAACCUAGACAAUUACAAUUACACACACACACACACACACACACACACACACACACACAAAUGGGGCUAAAUACAAAAACUCAUUAACACACAAUCUUUCAGCAGCACCUGGUAGGUACUGGUUAACCACACAGACCCAGGAGGGUGGGGGCUGUGGCUCAGGAGCAACCCCAGACAUUCCUCUUCACUCCAAGACCAGAUCACGAAGGCGAAGCCAGCAGAGAGGCGUUGCUCAGCAGCCAGUGGUGCAGGGGAGCGGCGACGAUGUCGCUGUGCCAGAUGCAGCCGGAAGAAGUGACA